CAGGACCUGUAUCUUCGUACACGGGUGAAAAGGGUAACCCGAUAUCCACUAAAACAGAGGAAGCAGGAUUAGAAGAUGUGCCACAGUCCCAGAUGGUAUCUAAAGACGUACAUGCUUUAUACAAGCACAUGAAGCCUACCAUUAAAAGCAAAGAUACAGCUCUCAAAAAACAAAAAUGGUGGAAGCAAAAAAAUAAAACGGAAAUCAGUAGGUCCAGGGGAGCAGGAUUGAAAUCCAGAAUCCUGAGAUGAUGAGGACUUGUAUUUUUUCUUGAAGCCAAGAUGUCAAGGCCGGUCUGUGAAAUACAAGAAAAUCUAAUUUAAAAGACAAUGUGCACUCUACCCUGACAUCUAGUGUAUCAACCAAAUGCAUCAAACUUGUUUUUAUGCUAAUUAGGUACUGACUUUGACAACUCUUGUGGUCAGUUUGAGGCAAGAAAUAAUAAAAGGAAUGAUCAUAGAUACUUUAGUUUAUCCCUUGCUUCUAAAGUGAACAUUUGCUGGUGAACACUCUUUCCUGAAAUUUUAUCUCAGAGUAAUCAAUCCAUAAAUUAUUCCACAUCCCAAUGGAGUCUUUGCUCAUUAUUCUUUGACUUGUUGUUUGUCUGUUACCUCUGUAUGGUAAAAACAGAACCCAGAUCCUUUUGAAGACAUCCUUCAUUCAGUCCUGCAUCAACCCCAUAGUGCACUUUUGCAUUUUCUUUAUUCAUCUCCAUUCAUGAUCA